GACGAACGCUGGCGGCGUGCUUAACACAUGCAAGUCGAACGGAAAGGCCCUGCUCUUGUGGGGUGCUCGAGUGGCGAACGGGUGUGUAACACGUGAGUAACCUGCCCUUGACAUUGGGAUAAAAUCAGGAAACAGGGGCUAUUACACGGUAGGAGCUCCUGCUGCACGGGGGGGGUUGGAAAGUUUCGGCGGUUGGGGAUGGACUCGCGGCUUAUCAGCUUGAUGGGGGGGUAGUGGCUUACCAGGGCUACGACGGGUAGCCGGCCUGAGAGCGUGACCGGCCACAUUGGGACUGAGAUACGCCCCAGACUCCUACGGGAGGCAGCAGUGGGGAAUAUUGCACAAUGGGCGGAAGCCUGUUGCAGCAACGCCGCGUGCGGGAUGACGGCCUUCGGGUUGUGAACCUCUUUCGCCUGUGACGAAGCGUGAGUGACGGUAACUGGUAAAGAAGCACCGGCUAACUACGUG
rnacentral:rRNA from 1 species